UGUCCAAGUCUCAAUCAAAAGCACAUACUGUGGCAGGUAUGUGGUUAUAAUUUUUAUGUUUAGGCAUGCAUGUUAGCAUUAACAUCCCAGUGGGCCGCAAUUUCUUUUUCUUUCGCGCAAGCCAUAUACUUUCCAUUUUCAUGAGCAAGUGCUCCACAAAUGGCAGCCAGAUAAAACACACAUAACAUAAUAAUGGAAAAAAGAGCCAGAAACAACGACUGCCGCACACUCGAAACAAAAGCGACUCAAGAACCCAGAAAAGUGACAGUGAUAAAUCAUUCUGGUUCUUGGCUUUCGAGCUAAUACAAUGAGGAAUAAGCUGAGUUCUGUCCUAUAACUUGCACUAUAAAUUACUGCAUAUUUCUUAUGAUAUAUGAUAUGAUAUUUCUGCCAGUGUAUCUGCUAGCGCAGCAGCCCUGACGUGACGCAUGCCAUGUCUAACCAUAUAAAUCAAAUCGUUCAGCUGAUAAAUUGUGUCUAAGCUCAACACUUGACUGGCUCCUGGCUCCAACUUCGUCUGCAAUCGCUGCUCUAUGUUUUGUGAAAACGCCACGCCCACCGCCGGAUCCGCCUUAGCGCCAAAAGUCUCCUCUUUCUAAUAAAAAACGGCAUAAAAACAGCUUCUGUGCCGGUUAGAGCCGCACUCCCGAUUGUUGCUUCAAUCUGCAUAAAUGCAAAUUAUGAAAAAUGAAUCAUGGCCAAAGGUUCGAGCACGGACAGGCACUGAGAAAAAUCGCAGGUCAUGGUGCGCAUUUUUUCCACGUGCAUAACUUGCCGGUUGUCUCAGAUACUUUUUCAUCUGCAAGUAGGCCGCCAGAUGCAAUCUGCACUCCAAUUUUCAGCCCACCAAUGCGGCAAUGAAAUUCAUGCAGCUCAAUUAACCCCACGUAAUUUAAUGUUUGUAUGUAGUUGUAUGUUCCAUAUGCAAAUUCAAAGACAACCUAGAUGACUUACCCAUUAUGAUUUUGGGAUGUUGCCGCUGGGGAGGUGGCAUGUCGGCCAAAUGAAUGUACUUUUCAAUGCCAAUAAAGAUUAAUGUGUCCGCA